GUACUGCUUGCUUUGGCAGUACAUAUACUAAAAUUGGAAUGAUACAGAGAUUAGAUGGCCCCUGUGAAAGGCUGAUACACAAAUUCUUGAAGCAUUCAAUAUUUUU